rnacentral:pre_miRNA from 1 species
UCUCAUGGAUGAGCAACGGAAGUGGUUUCUUAAGAUGGAAUCUGCUCCUGGUGAGGAUGCUGUGAA